UGUAAGUGUUCAUCACAGACAAGAGCGUUUUUUCAAAUGUGUUUCCUUAUUCUUAUGCUGCUUAUGCUGCCAUUAUGUUUCUAUCCUGCAUCGUUAAAGGAAAAUAUCACUAAGAAAACUGUUUUAGUAUUCGUUUCAUUACGCCACAUUUGAUACAUUCCCAAAAUGUUUUGUAUUUCCGCGAUCAAGUUUUCAAGAUCUAGAACUGUCAAAACACAGUAUGAUGUGUUUUUCAUCAUAUGAUUUAAACGUAUCAAACGUGAUUUAAACUAAAAACGUAUCAACCCCUACAAAAAUGUCCAUUAAUUAUAAUCCACACAAUUCACAUUUCCUGUUGCUACAGGAUUAUUUUCCUGCUGUGGUCAAAUUAAGAUCCUACAUCUGUACAUGCAAAGCUCCCAGCAGCAUUGAGCAGCAUUGUGAUUUUUUUGUUGAGUUUCGCUUCAGAGAGCUUUAGUUCCUGGCAGUGAUGCGUGACCACUUCAGGACCAUGCUCCACGUUUAUAAAACGUAGAACUUUAUUAAUAAAAAUACUGCCACAGUAGCUGAAGGCAUAGAAAAUGAAUAGCAAGAUCUGAUAGGCUAAUACUAUAAGUGUAGAGCACUCCAAUAACAAACAUUGCACACAUCCCUCUGUACCGACAACGUAGACAAAAUAACACGUUUCAAUACACAAAAGCACAUGAUUUUCACAGUGACAUACAAAAAAACAACAACAUUGCUUUCCCUUUUUUUGACCACACUUGAGUAUGGAAGCAUUUUCCUGUUGCUCUUGAGUGACUUGGAUGAGUUGAGUGGGUCCUCUCGUUUCAUGGCUGGUCUGAGGUGUUUCCAUGGUUUCCACUGAUGUCAUGGUUGUCCUCUGUUUUUCAGCCUGUAGUUCUCUAAGGUUGGAGGGUGGAGUGGAGGGGGUCCUAACAGCUAGACAGCUGACGGCCAAGGGGGAGGCUAGGUCUAGCAGCUAGACAGCUGACGGUCAAGGAGGGGGGGCUAGGUCUAGCAGCUAGACAGCUGACGGUCAAGGGGGGGGGGGCUAGGUCUAGCAG